GGAGUGCAGGUCAAGCAGAAGAGCAAGCUGGACAGAUGCAGCUGGCGGGGCCUCUGGGGUCGGAUGCUGAAGCUUCGGACACCACAUCCUCUCAGCACACAGAUGUGCAGAGUGAAGACAACAGGGAAACCCAAAGCUGACCUACAGUGGUCAGGGAAGAAUCCCAGGAAUGUGCCUUCCCAGUAUACCAUAGUUCCUGACCUACAAAUGAUGUUGAUUUUAUCGGACUCAAACUACUCUGUUGGACCCACAGGAGGUCUGACUUCUAUUCGAGGACCGUUUUGCUAUCACCUGGCUCCUCUGGUCUGGAAUCACCCCAGAGCCUUUCCUCUGUGACCUCCACUCCCUUCAUCUUUUGCUUCCUUAUAUCCUCGGAUUUUCUGACUUGACUUAGUUUCAUGGUUCUAUACCCUAAAGGUAAGCAUAGUUUUAUGUUUGGCUCUAGAAUGUCAAAAUUCUACAGAGAGAAGAAUAAUUAUCUUCAUGUCCUUUGGAACCUUCACUUCAAUUCACUUUGAAUGAAAAUGAGAGUGUCUAUGAGGAUACAUUUUUCUCCAGUCCAAACACGAAUGCCAUGCCUGAUUCUCUAUUACAUUUAGUAAAAUUAUUAUCUAAAUGGAUGUUUUUCAUUUUACUAUUCUUACCAUUUUCAUAUUUUUAAUAUGAUUUAGGUUUUCCUUUGAGGAUUAACUGUCUUAAAACCAGAAAUGUCUUGAGAAUCUCUUUUUUUCUUUCUUUUUUUUUUUUGUCUCAUUGACCUUUCUAGAGUAGAGGUGAUGACCUGUAGUCUUUUUUCCAUAUUGGCAUCUGACUUCCUGUGCCAGUUUUCGAUUCUUUACAAGGAAAGAAGUUAAUAAAGGAGAAAGAAGGAACUUUGAUGUUGCCAACUCUUAAACAAUUUAAGCUGUGACUUUACUAACCUUAAAGUAAAUGAAGCCAGAUUCAGUAGCUGCACGAUCAAAUGCUGUUACAGGAUAAUUUAGUCCAAUUGAAUAUUACGGUAAUGGGGGGAAAAUGAAUUCUCUGCACAUUGAAAUUUCUGCUUCUGCAAGAGAAUUAAACUGCUGAAUGCCCAUGUUCCCCACUGAAAAUCUCUUAGAUACACCUUAGCCUGCUGUGUGAAUGUGAAGGUCAAGUCUGUUGACUGAACUUUCUGGAAUAGAUUGUCAAUCUGGAACCACCCAUUUUUUCCCCUCUGUUCUUAAAAGCUUGUUUAUCUGUAUAGUUUUGAAGAACUAGUUUAAUUUUACAAGUGGACUAUAUUAGAAUACAGAAAAUUGUUUUCUUCACUUAGCUUUAUGAUUCCAAGGAUUCUAUGGAAUUUUCCAUUUGACUGACAUCUAGCUGAGACCCACACCUACUUACUAACCCAGUGAGAAUCUAUGUAAAUAUUUGUUAACUUUCAUUCUAGGUAGUGACUACUGAGUUUUAUAAUUUUUUUGCCUUUUUUUUUAGGGCCACACCCACAGCAUAUGAAAGUUCUCAGGCUAGGAGUCAAAUCGGAACUACACCUAUGCUAUACCACAGCCAAAGCAAUGCUAGAUCUGAGCAGAGUCCGCAACCUACACCACAGCUCAUGCCAACACUGGAUCCUUAACCCACUGAGUGAGGCCAAGAAUCAAACCUGCAACCUCAUGGUUCCUAGUUGGGUUCAUUUCCACUAUGCCAUGAGGGAAACUCCGAGUUUUAUAAUUUUAGGUAAAUAUCUUAGUUCCAAAAAAACACAUGUAAAAAAGAGGUGUAAGGAAAACUGCUGAAGGUUUAUCUUACGCUCAAGAAAACUUAUACAUAUUAUUUUCUACUCUCCAAGCCCCUGCACAAGAAGCUACAAGCACAGAAGAGUGAAUAUCUAUCCUGAGGUAGCAUAUACAAAUAGGAGAAAACUUAAAUAGUGGUCUCCAGUCACUAUAAAGUUCAGACCAAAUAAAUUGAGUAAAAAGGAAAAUUUCAUAUUCACAUGACAGGGAAUAAACAAGAGUCAGGGAGGCAGAGAACAGAAAGAAGUGGAGUGAAGUCCAGAAGAAUAAUAGAACUGAAAUUUUUAAGCGAAAAAUCUCAUAAAGGAGGUGAUAGGACAAAUUACAAAGACAGAGAAUAAUAUUUCAUCUAAGAUCAAAUUCACAGGGUUAUUUUGCAUAUUUUCAAAAAAGGAGAGAGAAAAAAGACUCUCGAUAAGUAAUUAUAUAACCCAGCAAACAAACUUCACAAAUGCAUUUGUUUCUAAAUGAAGCAAUUAUCUGAACUUCAUCUGGUAUUUGGCCCUCAAAGCAUUUCCAUCACAAAUGACUGAAUUAUUAGUGAGUGUUCAAAGAUGCUAUUAGCAGAUGCUGCCUGAGACUUGUCCAUCAGCAACAUCCAUAUAACAAUUUCCACUUAAUGAUACGGAAUAUGUUAAUUCAAACAUUUGUGUGAGAUACAGAGUGGCCCUAAGAACUUCCUACUUUAGGGUAUUAACCCCUAUUGCUUCCCAAAUCCUAGGAGUCAUCCCUGAUUUUGCACUGACUCUUGCUUAGACUCAUCCAUCUAUGCAACCAUCCAUCCAUCCAGCCAGCCAUACAUUAUCUAUCCUGAAGAAUCAUUUAUUGAGAACAUACUCUUUGCUCAAUAUAAUGCUAGGUUCAUAGGAACAUGCAAAAGAAGCAUUCAAAAUUACCCUUUACCUUAAAGAAAUAAUUUUAUAAAAAUCACAUCAGGAGUUCCAGUCUGGCUCAGUGGUUAACGAAUCCGGCUAGGAACCAUGAGGUUGCAGAUUUGAUCCCUGGACUCGCUCACUGGGUUAAGGAUUUGGCAUUGCCAUAAGCUGUGGUGUAGGUAGCAGACAUGGCUCGGAUCCUGCGUUGCUGUGGCUCUGCCAUAGGCCGGUGGCUGCAGCUCUGAUUAGACCCCUAGCAUGGGAACCUCCAUGUGCCAGGAGUGCGGCCCUAGAAAAGAAAAGAAAAAAAAAAA
rnacentral:lncRNA from 1 species